GCUCGCGUCCUAGGGGAGUAGUCCCCCGCAAGCUCUGCUAAACAGCGAGUUUGCCCGGCGCUCGUCAACAUACUUGGUCAACAGACCAUGGCGAGUGCGACCCAGGCCCAAGCGGCCAGCGGUUUGACAAGACCUAUGACACGCACACCUUACCCGGGGCGGGAAGGCUGUACGUGUCAUAGCCGUUUUGACCCGCCCCUUC
rnacentral:sRNA from 2 species